UACGUAGGGCGCAAGCGUUGUCCGGAUUUACUGGGCGUAAAGAGCGCGCAGGCGGCUGGUCAAGUCCGAUGUGAAAGCUCCCGGCUUAACUGGGAAAUUGCAUCGGAAACUGAUCGGCUGGAAGGUGGGAGAGGGUAGCGGAAUUCCCGGUGUAGUGGUGAAAUGCGUAGAUAUCGGGAGGAACACCAGUGGCGAAAGCGGCUACCUGGCCCAUUCUUGACGCUGAGGCGCGAAAGCUAGGGGAGCAAACGGG
rnacentral:rRNA from 1 species